AACAAACAAACAAACAAAACACAUUUUAAAGGCAAGCAGUUGCAUCAGAGAAAAAAUAUGAAAUCUGAUACUGAUAAAAAUUGGAUACAGUCAAGUGGAUAUUUUCAGGGGAAAAAAUUGUAGUCAUAGCUUUACAGGUUCUUAGAAGCCAUGUGAACAGAAAUACCUUAACUUGCACUUAAACAUUAAAUUCGACUCAAUUUUACUUGCAGUUUUGUUCUAUUUUUCAGAAUAAGAGAAGGAGAAACUAUCACUUUAAUUACAGCAGGCAUGACAUGCAAGAAA